UUUUAACCAUAUUCUGACCAAAGAAUUCUUUGCUACCCGUAAGUCAAAAAGAUAUCCUGCAACUUUUCUUUCCAGAAACCUCAUAAAUUUGACUGCCAUUUUUAGGUCUAUGAGCCACCUCAAAUUAAUAUUUAUGUGGUGCGAGGCAGAGACCAUGCAUUUUCUUUCAUAGGGAUAUCUAGGGAUUUCAGUACCAUUUGUUAAUAAGACUUUCCUUCCCUAUUGAAUUAUUUUGGCAUCAUUGUGAAAAAUCAGUUAUAACAGGUUCCCUUCAUCUUCUCUCCUCUUAUUUUUUCCUUUUCCCUCCAUCCCUCUCCUUCUGAACAAUUUUCUAAAGCCAUUAGGUGGAGCUGACCCCAGUUAAUUCUUUAAUAUCGUCAAAUCACAGACUCCACAGACCCUCAAUCUCCAAUCCUAUAAGAUACCCCGCCCCCAGCGUCCUGUACUUGGCCCCCAGCACCCAAAUUAAUCUCUUGCCCAGGUCCCUUCGUCCCUCUACUUCAUGGAGCCACAGUCCCGGAUGCCAACAGGUCCUCUAAUAUCUCAACCUGCAGUAAGAAAGACAUAAAAUCACCGUCUGGAAGACCGCAUUCUAAUGGGUGGCAAACUAGAUAUAAGGAAAUAAAAAAUGACAUUGAGACAGUUCUAAGUGCUAUGAAAGAAUAUGAAUGGAGAGAGAGAAGUGGGAUACAGUGAAGCUACUUGGGAUAUUUGUUGAAUUAAUAAGUGAAUUCCACAGUUUCGUCCUUGAAGGUCACAGACAUUCUGGUACAGCUGGGGCCAUCCCUACCAGCAUCCAAGGAAAUUUUAUCAACAUGAUAGUGCCGGGGAAGGAGGACUUUAUGUACGCAGAUGGCAUCUGUGUUUGGGCUUCCAGCCAAAUCCUUCUCUCUUGACCUGGCGUCUGCCUCUUACACAUAUUCACAGAGUUAGAUAUACUCUGAACACAAUGACUCACUACAAAGGAGAGUCACAUGAGGUGUGGUGUGAAAUUACCUACUUAUUAUCCAAUAAAAUGCUGUUUUUUACUUCCUGGCUGGUGAUUUUAAACUUUUUACUUGAAAUUUCAUAACUAAAUUCUUCCUUCCUUCUUUUACAGACUCAUCACAAGGCAAACAAUAUGCCUGACCCGCCACUCACCAAGUGUGACUAUGGGUAAAACAUUCACCUGCUUGAACCUCAGGCUCCUCAUCUGUAAAACGAUUUUAUAACUGUUUGUAAUGUCGACUGAUCCAAUAAGGACAAGUGAGAAAUCUGUUCCUUAUUAAAAUGUCAGGUAACCUUGAAGCAAUGUCCCACACUCUGUGCGGCUGAACGGGAUCCACACAGAACUUGGGGCAUCAGGGGAGGCCGCUUGUCUCUACACAACUCAGGUGUUCAUUACCAGACGUGAGGCCAGCCAGCCUCCUGCACCGCUGUAGUGAAGGAAAAUCCCAGCCUGGCUCUUCUGGAGUUAUCGGGCGGCUUUUCCCUCUCGUUUUCUCUGGGACCUCACAACACUGAUUAUUAGUGUCACCCCCGGAUCCUUCUCCUGUCUCUCUGCUCACACAUUAAUAGAAGGCUCUCGAUAGGUUCAGGUCUCUCCAGUCCUUCAAAAAUGACCACAGGACCCUACAAUUCACCUACUGUUCUCCCUCUCAAUGCACAACAAACUCUGUCUGUUUCCAAACUGGACUAAGUGUUUAUAUACAAAGGUGGAACCGGGUGGUCUGAGACAUGGUGAUACGGAGAAUUUUUGUGCGCGUUUUAUGUGUACAAUUUGGUGAGUUUGGACAUACGCAUAUGCCCAUGAUACUAUCACCACAAACAAGGUAAUAAA
rnacentral:lncRNA from 1 species